rnacentral:rRNA from 1 species
GAUGAACGCUGGCGGCGUGCCUAAUACAUGCAAGUCGAGCGAACAGAUGAGGAGCUUGCUCCUCUGACGUUAGCGGCGGACGGGUGAGUAACACGUGGAUAACCUACCUAUAAGACUGGGAUAACUUCGGGAAACCGGAGCUAAUACCGGAUAAUAUAUUGAACCGCAUGGUUCAAUAGUGAAAGACGGUUUUGCUGUCACUUAUAGAUGGAUCCGCGCCGCAUUAGCUAGUUGGUAAGGUAACGGCUUACCAAGGCAACGAUGCGUAGCCGACCUGAGAGGGUGAUCGGCCACACUGGAACUGAGACACGGUCCAGACUCCUACGGGAGGCAGCAGUAGGGAAUCUUCCGCAAUGGGCGAAAGCCUGACGGAGCAACGCCGCGUGAGUGAUGAAGGUCUUCGGAUCGUAAAACUCUGUUAUUAGGGAAGAACAAAUGUGUAAGUAACUAUGCACGUCUUGUCGGUACCUAAUCAGAAAGCCACGGCUAACUACGUG